UUAUGGCCAUAACAUAAUGAAACCCCAGUUCACAUAUAAUCACUGAAGUUAAGCAACAUUGAAACUGGUUAGUAUCUAGUUGGGUGAUCACUUGGGAAUACCAGGUGCUGAAA